rnacentral:rRNA from 1 species
GACGAACGCUGGCGGCGUGCUUAACACAUGCAAGUCGAACGGUAGGGCCCUUCGGGGUACACGAGUGGCGAACGGGUGAGUAACACGUGGGUGAUCUGCCCUGCACUUCGGGAUAAGCCUGGGAAACUGGGUCUAAUACCGGAUAGGACCACUGCCUGCAUGGGUGGUGGUGGAAAGCUUUUGCGGUGUGGGAUGGGCCCGCGGCCUAUCAGCUUGUUGGUGGGGGGGUGGCCUACCAAGGCGACGACGGGUAGCCGGCCGGGGAGGGUGACCGGCCACACUGGGACUGAGCUACGGCCCAGACUCCUACGGGAGGCAGCAGUGGGGAAUAGUGCACAAUGGGCGCAAGCCUGAUGCAGCGACGCCGCGUGAGGGAUGACGGCCUUCGGGUUGUAAACCUCUUUCAGCACCGACGAAGCGCAAGUGACGGUAGGUGCAGAAGAAGGACCGGCCAACUCCGUGCCAGCCGCCGCAGUAA